UACAGAGGGGGCAAGCGUUGUUCGGAAUUACUGGGCGUAAAGGGCGCGUAGGCGGCCCGCUAAGUCGAACGUGAAAUCCCCGAGCUCAACUCGGGAACUGCGUCCGAUACUGGCGGGCUUGAAUCCGGGAGAGGGAUGCGGAAUUCCAGGUGUAGCGGUGAAAUGCGUAGAUAUCUGGAGGAACACCGGUAGCGAAGGCGGCAUCCUGGACCGGCAUUGACGCUGAGGCGCGAAAGCUAGGGGAGCAAACGGG
rnacentral:rRNA from 1 species